rnacentral:rRNA from 1 species
CAAGGCGACGAUCCCUAGCUGGUCUGAGAGGAUGACCAGCCACACUGGAACUGAGACACGGUCCAGACUCCUACGGGAGGCAGCAGUGGGGAAUAUUGCACAAUGGGCGCAAGCCUGAUGCAGCCAUGCCGCGUGUAUGAAGAAGGCCUUCGGGUUGUAAAGUACUUUCAGCGGGGAGGAAGGUGUUGUGGUUAAUAACCGCAGCAAUUGACGUUACCCGCAGAAGAAGCACCGGCUAACUCCGUGCCAGCAGCCGCGGUAAUACGGAGGGUGCAAGCGUUAAUCGGAAUUACUGGGCGUAAAGCGCACGCAGGCGGUCUGUCAAGUCGGAUGUGAAAUCCCCGGGCUCAACCUGGGAACUGCAUUCGAAACUGGCAGGCUUGAGUCUUGUAGAGGGGGGUAGAAUUCCAGGUGUAGCGGUGAAAUGCGUAGAGAUCUGGAGGAAUACCGGUGGCGAAGGCGGCCCCCUGGACAAAGACUGACGCUCAGGU